GAUGAACGCUGGUGGCGUGCCUAGUACAUGCAAGUCGAGCGAACGGACGAGAAGCUUGCUUCUCUGAUGUUAGCGGCGGACGGGUGAGUAACACGUGGAUAACCUACCUAUAAGACUGGGAUAACUUCGGGAAACCGGAGCUAAUACCGGAUAAUAUUUUGAACCGCAUGGUUCAAAAGUGAAAGACGGUCUUGCUGUCACUUAUAGAUGGAUCCGCGCUGCAUUAGCUAGUUGGUAAGGUAACGGCUUACCAAGGCAACGAUGCAUAGCCGACCUGAGAGGGUGAUCGGCCACACUGGAACUGAGACACGGUCCAGACUCCUACGGGAGGCAGCAGUAGGGAAUCUUCCGCAAUGGGCGAAAGCCUGACGGAGCAACGCCGCGUGAGUGAUGAAGGUCUUCGGAUCGUAAAACUCUGUUAUUAGGGAAGAACAUAUGUGUAAGUAACUGUGCACAUCUUGACGGUAUCUAAUCAGAAAGCCACGGCUAACUACGUG
rnacentral:rRNA from 1 species